rnacentral:rRNA from 1 species
AGAGUUUGAUCCUGGCUCAGGACGAACGCUGGCGGCGUGCUUAACACAUGCAAGUCGAACGGAAAGACCCAGCUUGCUGGGUACUCGAGUGGCGAACGGGUGAGUAACACGUGGGUGAUCUGCCUUGCACUCUGGGAUAAGCCUGGGAAACUGGGUCUAAUACCGGAUAUGACCUCUGACUGCAUGGUUGGGGGUGGAAAGCUUUUGCGGUGUGAGAUGGGCCCGCGGCCUAUCAGCUUGUUGGUGAGGUAAUGGCUCACCAAGGCGACGACGGGUAGCCGACCUGAGAGGGUGAUCGGCCACACUGGGACUGAGACACGGCCCAGACUCCUACGGGAGGCAGCAGUGGGGAAUAUUGCACAAUGGGCGCAAGCCUGAUGCAGCGACGCCGCGUGGGGGAUGACGGCCUUCGGGUUGUAAACUCCUUUCGCCAGGGACGAAGCGCAAGUGACGGUACCUGGAGAAGAAGCACCGGCCAACUACGUGCCAGCAGCCGCGGUAAUA